rnacentral:rRNA from 1 species
AUUGAACGCUGGCGGCAUGCUUUACACAUGCAAGUCGAACGGCAGCGCGGGCUUCGGCCUGGCGGCGAGUGGCGAACGGGUGAGUAAUACAUCGGAACGUGCCCAGUAGUGGGGGAUAGCUCGGCGAAAGCCGGAUUAAUACCGCAUACGACCUGAUGGUGAAAGCGGGGGAUCUUCGGACCUCGCGCUCUUGGAGCGGCCGAUGGCAGAUUAGCUAGUUGGUGGGGUAAAGGCCUACCAAGGCGACGAUCUGUAGCUGGUCUGAGAGGACGACCAGCCACACUGGGACUGAGACACGGCCCAGACUCCUACGGGAGGCAGCAGUGGGGAAUUUUGGACAAUGGGCGAAAGCCUGAUCCAGCAAUGCCGCGUGUGUGAUGAAGGCCUUCGGGUUGUAAAGCACUUUUGGCGGGAACGAAAAGGACUGUGCCAAUACCACGGUUCGAUGACGGUACCCGCAGAAUAAGCACCGGCUAACUACGUG